UUAUUUUGAAAGCUUCAAGGAGGACAAACUCUUUGGUGAUUGAUGUUUAUAGCUGGCUUGGUAUGUACUCAAGGCCUUCUGCAUAAAGGUGGUUGAUCUUAAUCAGCCCUGCCUUCUCCAUUCCAGAAUGCUCCAGGUAAUAUUCUUUGGAGGAAUUCAGUAUGUGAACAAUGGUCAGUUUUUAUCGAUGUGAUAAUUUUCUGCCAUUAUGAAGCAAUGUCUAUCGACCUUUGGGUCUCACAGAUGUGAGAUCAUGGAGCAUUCAGCACAUAGUAGGAGCCAAAUGUUUAUAUGACCGAGAUAUUCAAAUUAUGUAGAAUAAGACAAAUAAAAGAUGGACAACUGGAUCAGUACUUGCAUGUAGGAUAACUCCCAAGUUUAUGCACCUUUGUAUCUGGGUGUGAAUCUGGCGGAAGUCAGGUUUGACCAACUAUCCUUGG
rnacentral:lncRNA from 1 species